rnacentral:rRNA from 1 species
UGGGGAAUUUUGGACAAUGGGCGCAAGCCUGAUCCAGCCAUGCCGCGUGCGGGAAGAAGGCCUUCGGGUUGUAAACCGCUUUUGUCAGGGAAGAAAUCUUCUGAGUUAAUACCUCGGGAGGAUGACGGUACCUGAAGAAUAAGCACCGGCUAACUACGUGCCAGCAGCCGCGGUAAUACGUAGGGUGCAAGCGUUAAUCGGAAUUACUGGGCGUAAAGCGUGCGCAGGCGGUUUUGUAAGACAGAGGUGAAAUCCCCGGGCUCAACCUGGGAACUGCCUUUGUGACUGCAAGGCUUGAGUGCGGCAGAGGGGGAUGGAAUUCCGCGUGUAGCAGUGAAAUGCGUAGAUAUGCGGAGGAACACCGAUGGCGAAGGCAAUCCCCUGGGCCUGCACUGACGCUCAUGCACGAAAAGCGUGGGGAGCAAAACAGGAUUAGAUACCCUGGUAGUCCACGCCCUAAAACGAUGUCAACUGGUUGUUGGGAAGGUUCCUUCUCAGUAACGUAGCUAACGCGUGAAGUUGACCGCCUGGGGAGUACGGCCGCAAGGUUGAAAACUCAAAUGAAUUGACGGGGUCAUAGCUGUUUCC